GGACGAAUAGCUCAGGGGUAGAGCAACCGGCUGCAGCUUCCCACGGGCAAGCAUAUUCCGGUAGGUCACGUGUUCAAAUCACGUUUCGUCCU